AAAAUUUGCCGAAACUUUGAGAUGGUCAUGAUUCAAAAACAAUGCGAGAAAACUUCAAAUCAAGUGUCAGAUCUACGAUGGAAAUGUGACACAUUAGCUGAGUCAAUCACCCUGCCUGCAAGAUUUUUUGCAAGGAUGGGAAGGUGACUGACACUGUGCAUUAUUUUUGUGGAGAAAAGUCUGCCAUGUUAACCUCUGCUCUCCAAAAUACUGUAUACA